rnacentral:rRNA from 1 species
UACGUAGGGUGCAAGCGUUAAUCGGAAUUACUGGGCGUAAAGCGUGCGCAGGCGGCUUUGCAAGUCAGAUGUGAAAUCCCCGGGCUUAGCCUGGGAACUGCAUUUGUGACUGCAUGGCUGGAGUGCGGCAGAGGGGGAUGGAAUUCCGCGUGUAGCAGUGAAAUGCGUAGAUAUCGAGAGGAACACCAGUGGCGAAGGCGAGUCUCUGGACAUUUCCUAACGCUGAGGCACGAAAGCCAGGGGAGCAAACGGG